CCCACCUCCGAGAGCCACAAGACAGCUGUUGGUGAUAAUUAGCCAGGAAGGUGACCCACUUCUCAAUAGUCCAACAGUAAGCACCCAAGAGUAGAUGUGCCCUCGGGAUGCUGAUGUCAGUGCCGUUAGGUAUGUACCCGGGAGUAAGACAGCUGGAUCAUGGGACGGCAGAGAUCACUCAGCAGUACUGAAGUUCAAAUAGGAUGUCUCUUCUGGUUUGGCCUUGUCCUAUGGUCCCGACAUUUGCAAACUGUAUUUCCUUCAGCUAACAAUCUCCCAAGUUCUGACCGUUUCUAUCAGCUAGACUCUAGCCCCCAAACCUCCAAAGCCUUUCCAUGCUCUCUGUUGUCCUCUCUUACUCUACUCCACUGCAACUUGGGGAUUUGAGUGUGGGAGCGUGAGAAAGUGAGACCUACCUGUCUCAUUAGGUGGCGAAGCUUAGGAUUGAAAGCACACAGACAUGAUAUAUCUAAACUACGCAUGGGGAAAUACGGCUUCAUGGCAGAUUUUGCUGUAACUAUUGUCAGAAAACUGAGAAAUGCCUUCUGCCCUUCCAAUUCAUCACAUCAUCGUGGCAAUGUUAAAUUCACCCAAAAAGAAUGAAUGACAUUGAGCCCUCAGUGUGGCAAAAGAUGGCUCAGCUCCACACCAGGUCAGAAUGUUCCUGAAAGGAUCUCAAAGCCCUGCAGCGCCCGAUGCACGUGACCCACAUAGCUCCACAGACACCGGGCGUGAGGAACAAGCCAGCGCCGAGACAGCUGCAACCCCUUCGCAGCUCGGCUUGUCGUGCCAAACACCUCGAAGGGCCAAUCCGGGAGGAAUCUGAGUCAACGCGGUUGCAAGUGGCACUGAUAAGAACAGGAGAUAAAAAUGAGCCCAGGCAGUUGAGGGAAGAGACCUCAGAAGAUUGGUGCCCUCGGCCAGAACCUGGAGGUGUCCUUGGUUCCGCUCUCCCCAGAGGCUACUGACUUCACAGAAGCGCUGUGUGGCCAUGAACAUCUGUCACCCUAGUUCCCUAAUGCCCACCUGAGGCAAGAGAUAAAGCCUCCCUCAAACCUACAGGCACCCUACUUUUACCGUAUCAGCACUUGGUCGGGCUGCCUGGGCCAGCAUCAGUGCCAGACUGCUGAUCGCUCGUCAGUGUUCCAUACCAGGGCAAGGAGAUACGAUAUGGCUGCAAGCAGUAAUCAAGCCAAGCCUUGAGAACCCUGCAUGAGAAUGAAAAGCGAAGGGACAGAAGGACACGCAAACAGGGUACCAAGACUCAGACCAGAGGAGAGUUCGGGCCACCCUGUCACUUCUGUUCAUGUAAGGACUGAGGCCGAUGUAGGCUAUGCCUUAUUCCGAGCAAGGGAUUGGUGUAAGGCCAGUGUACACAGACGGAGGAGAGGCCCACGGUUGGGCAUGAGUUUGGGGAAGGGGUCAGACUCCCUCCAGGGAAGGAUGGAUGACAAGGCGAUGCAGCUGUUGCAAGGCGCUGUGCUGUUCCAGUGGCUUUAGGGAAUUAAGUCAGACAAAACACUGAAUAUAGUCUGGCUUCUAGUUGCUUACACUGAGAACCUCUGUGGUAGUAGUGAGACCUCCUGCUGUUCUCCCUCUCCCUCUCGCUCCCUCCUUCCCUCUCCUCAUCUGUCUGGAAGACCUAUUGCUCCUAUUUUCAACCUGCAAACAAAAUCGGACCCUUCCUGACCAUUCCCACUGCCUGCCAUGCCCGCCAUGUAAACCACCAUUAUCAUUGACGUCCCUCUCUGUGUCUGCCACUGCUCAUGAGGCAGAGAUACCUUUAAAAUCUAAAUUGGAUGGCGCUCCUCUUCUCCCUUCUCGAAACCCUCCAGCAACUCCCCCAUCUAACUCAGAGGAGAAGGGAGAGGCUAAGGCCCUCCCAUCACCCUAGAAGACCCUCUGCAUGCUGACCCUGUGGCUGCUCAGUCUCUACCUCCCACUACACCUCACUUCCCUCCCUUUCUCCAGCUAGACCCAUCUUCCUCUUGGUCAAGACCACUCCUUCCUCAGGGACUUCCUGAAAUGUUGUCUCUGAGUCUUGGGGACCUCUUUCAUAAAGGUCACGACUCAUCCCCUCAGCUCCUUGAGGCCUUUCCUCAUCUGUCCACCUAGGAGACUCCACCUCAUCCAGAACUGCCCCCUUUGGGGUGCCCUAUCUUUUUUAAACUGCAUUCCACAUUCUAAUGUCAUAAAUAACAUGUAUCAGUUGAGAACAGAGAUAAUUCUAGAAAAGGAGUCUGUGGGUGACUUUGCCGUGGUGCAUGCGCUAGAGAGUAAGGAACUCACUCCACUGUCCCAUGUGCAAUCCAUUGCUGAGUGAAACAUCAUUUUGAUGCACAUGAAUAUGUAAGUAUGUAUGAUGAAGUUACUGUGUGUUUAUUAUGCAUUCAUUCUCUCUCGGCUAAAAUGUAAAACACCAUGAGAACAAGGAGUUAGAUGGCUGUUGACUAGAAGGGGAACCCCUCCAUUGCUACACCAUUCAUCCUUUGAUACAUGU